rnacentral:rRNA from 1 species
UCUCCCAUGCUAAGGUGGUAGCAUAAUCAUUUGCCUUUUAGUUGGAGGCUAGAAUGAAAAGUUAAGCGUGUCAUUCCUUUUAUUAAUUAAUUUUCUUUAACCUCUCCUGUAUGUAAAAAGACACAUAACAAGUGGGAUGACAAGACCCUGUUGAACUUCACUAUAAGUUGAGCUGGUGCGGCAAAAAACCAAACCUUUUAUUCCUCUCUCUUACAAUUAACCUCUAGGAUUCACCAAGUUAUCGCAUGGAUAACAGCAUAAUUCUUUCCUAAAGACCUUAUUUAAGAACAAGAUUGUGGCCUCGAUGUUUAAUUAAUACUCUUCUAGAAGUAAGAUUUUAGAAAGAAAGUCUGUUCAACGUUUAAGUA